GUUUUUUCAUGGAGAGUUUGAUCCUGGCUCAGGACGAACGCUGGCGGCGUGCUUAACACAUGCAAGUCGAACGGAAAGGCCCUGCUUGCAGGGUGCUCGAGUGGCGAACGGGUGAGUAACACGUGGGUGAUCUGCCCCUGACUUUGGGAUAAGCCUGGGAAACUGGGUCUAAUACCGGAUAUGACCAUGGGAUGCAUGUUCUGUGGUGGAAAGCUUUUGCGGUUGGGGAUGGGCCCGCGGCCUAUCAGCUUGUUGGUGGGGUAAUGGCCUACCAAGGCGACGACGGGUAGCCGACCUGAGAGGGUGAUCGGCCACACUGGGACUGAGACACGGCCCAGACUCCUACGGGAGGCAGCAGUGGGGAAUAUUGCACAAUGGGCGCAAGCCUGAUGCAGCGACGCCGCGUGAGGGAUGACGGCCUUCGGGUUGUAAACCUCUUUCAG
rnacentral:rRNA from 1 species